rnacentral:rRNA from 1 species
CAGUUCGGAUUGCAGUCUGAAACUCGAGUGCAUGAAGCUGGAAUCGCUAGUAAUCGCAAAUCAGAAUGUUGCGGUGAAUACGUUCCCGGGUCUUGUACACACCGCCCGUCACACCAUGGGAGUUGGAAAUGCCCGAAGUCAGUGACCCAACCAAAAGGAGGGAGCUGCCGAAGGCAGGUUCGAUGACUGGGGUGAAGUCGUAACAAGGUAUC